GACAGAAAUUUGCCUCCAUGAUCUGCCCUGUCAAGGUCUUACCGUCUAAAAUCUUCUUCAAUAAUAUUACCAACGAUUCGCUGCUUCUUUCAUUGAUCCGUCUGAGCUUGAUCCACUGCAGUUCAUCGGAGAUUUCUCGGGACCUUAGAGUUCAAGGGGCGCCCUUAUUAGAGAGGAGGAGAGGAAAGGAUUGUCAAAUUUAAACAAUGGGGGAUGUUCAGGAGCAGCAGAGUAAUUCAGCUGGUCCAGAUAGUGAUAAUGAAAUCAGUACUGAACAUGCUUCAUUUAUACAAGGCGAGCCUUCAGAAGAUACCAAACAGCCUCCAGAGGUUGAUUCUGCAGUGGAAGUCCUUCAUGAAAAAGUCACAAAGCAAAUCAUCAAGGAAGGUCAUGGCCAGAAGCCA